UGACGUUACCCGCAGAAGAAGCACCGGCUAACUCCGUGCCAGCAGCCGCGGUAAUACGGAGGGUGCAAGCGUUAAUCGGAAUUACUGGGCGUAAAGCGCACGCAGGCGGUUUGUUAAGUCAGAUGUGAAAUCCCCGGGCUCAACCUGGGAACUGCAUCUGAUACUGGCAAGCUUGAGUCUCGUAGAGGGGGGUAGAAUUCCAGGUGUAGCGGUGAAAUGCGUAGAGAUCUGGAGGAAUACCGGUGGCGAAGGCGGCCCCCUGGACGAAGACUGACGCUCA
rnacentral:rRNA from 1 species